CAGUUCGGAUUGUAGUCUGCAAUCGACUACAUGAAGCUGGAAUCGCUAGUAAUCGCGAAUCAGAAUGUCGCGGUGAAUACGUUCCCGGGUCUUGUACACACCGCCCGUCACACCAUGGGAGUCGGAAAUGCCCGAAGUCAGUGACCUAACCGAAAGGAAGGAGCUGCCGAAGGUGGAGCCGGUAACUGGGGUGAAGUCGUAACAAGGUAAC
rnacentral:rRNA from 1 species